CUUGGCAAGAGUAUCAUGCUUUUCAUAGUUACGAAUGCCUCGUCAAUGCUUAUAGUUUUCACCAAGUUUAAUGAUCUUUGAUUGUAUCUCUAUUGUGCUUUUCACGUAGGGGACUUUUGAAGAAUGUUUUGAAUUGUUGUAUGCGUUUUCCCAUCCAAUUCAAUAACUUAAGGAAAACUUGAAGAUUAAAAAAGUGCUGUUCACGGUUAAUCUGAAGUGUUGAGAUUCACAAUUUAUUGAAAGAACAACUGAAAAUCAAUUUAGGUUGCAUAUGUGUCAUGUGUAGAGAAGAACCCUCUAGCUAGUCUAUCACUUAUCCUUUCACCUUAAUUUCAUGCUUUUGUCAAUUCUGUAAUUUAUUUAAGUUCAAUUUACUUUUCGUCAAAACCAAACCCCCCCCAUUAUUAAAUUAUAUUAUUUAGUUAGUUUUCAUUGUUGUUAGUCUUUUAAUUCAAAUUCCGUCCAUUUCAGUUCCUAGUGUCUAAUU
rnacentral:lncRNA from 1 species